UGCUUGAAUCUGAUUGUUACUGCUUUCAUUUAAUAUAUGUAAUUAUUUUUGGCUUGUGCAUUGCCUAUUUCAGUUCCUACUGCAGUUCCUACAACAGAGCCUACAGAGCCUGCAAAGGAGGGGCCUGCAAAUCCUACAAGAGUAUCUACAGUGCCUACGACAGUCCCUAUGGAGUCUACAACAGAACCUAUGGAGCAUAGAACAGUACCUACGGCGCCUACACCAGUCUCUACAGUGCCUACAGAACAACCUACACCAAUCGAAUAUAUUCGAAGUCCUAGAGCAGAAACAUAUCUGACUCAAGAUGGAACUAGGGAAUGGAUUCCAUAUUGUGUUGAAGAUAAGAAACCACGUGAAGGAAUGGGAUUCAAAACUUUAGAAAAGGCUAUCGAAUUUUAUAAGGAGUAUGCUGUAAUAUGUGGUUUUGACGUUCGUUCAGCUACGGUAUACAAGAAUAGCAAAGGUAUCAUUCAAAAGUAUUAUCUUUGUAGUAGAGAAGGUAUCUUAGAAUCCGAAGGUAAUUAUGAUGAAAAAGGGAAGCGACGCCGUAAAAGAAACUCAAAGCGAGUUGGUUGCAAGGCUAGAAUCAUUUGGAAUCUUAUCAAUGAAGAUGGAGAAUACAAAGUUACCAAAUUUUUUGAGCCUCAUAACCAUUGCCUAGCCUCUCCUACAUCCAUGCCAUAUUUGAGAAGUUCAAGGAAAAUGACGAUGGUUCACAAGAAUUUUGUGAAUAAUAAUACAAGAAUGAACAUUGGGCCAACGAAAUCUUUUCGGCUAUUUAAGGAAAAUGUAGGUAGUUACGACAAUGUUGGAGCCACAAUGAAAGACUUUAUGAACUUUCAUAGAGAUUUGAAGGAGCACAUCAAGGGUGAUGAUGCUAAGAUGUUAAUUGAGAAUUUUAUACGAAAAAGAGAUGUUUUCAAUGGGUUCUACUUUGAUUAUGCCCUAGAUGAACAUGAUCAUGUUUCCCAUCUGUUUUGGGCGGAUGCAACUAGCCGUAAAAAUUAUUCAUUGUUUGGAGAGAUGAUAUCCUUUGAUUGCACCUACGACUCCAACACAUACUCAAUGGUUUUAGCUCCUUUCACCGGAGUAGACCAUCACAAGUCUUGCAUAACAUUUGGGGUUGGUUUACUUUCUAAAGAAGAUGCUCAAUCAUUUGAAUGGCUUUUUAGGACUUUCCUUAAUGCUAUGGGAAAUUGUGAGCCUAGAUAUUUGAUAACCGAUCAAGAUCCGGCAAUGAAAGUUGCCAUAAAUGAGGUGUUUGUUAACACUCGCCACCGACUUUGUUUGUGGCAUAUAAUGAAAAAAGUUCCUGAAAAAGUAGGCCCUGAGCUCAAACAAGAUGAAGAUUUUCUUAAGUUGUUAAAUGAGUGUGUGUGGGACAUGGAACAAGAAUCCGAGGAAUUUGAAGCUACUUGGAACUCGCUUAUGGUUCAAUAUAACCUUGUGGAGAAUGGUUGGUUCCAACAUAUGUUUUCAAUAAGAGAACAUUGGAUACCAUGCUACUUUAGAGAUCUCAGGUUAGGAGGCAUUUUAAGAACUACCUCUAGAUCAGAAAGUGAGAAUAGUUUUUUCAAUAAUUUCACCAAUCCGCAUGUGACACUUGUAGAAUUCUACAUGCGUUUUGAAAGUGCAAUGGAUGCACAAAGGCACAAGCAAGAUAAGCUAAAUACAGAAUCCAUUCACUCUGUUCCUCAAUUUAUAACUCCAUUGCCUUUGGAGAAACAUGCAGCUGAGGUGUAUACCAGAAAAAUGUUCUACAUGUUCCAGGAUGAGGUGUACAAGGCUUGUUUCAGAUGUGGGAUUAGUUCUAUUAGAAUGGAAGAAAAUAUUGAAAUCGCACAAGUCAUGGACCAUUCUCGACAGAAAACAAGUAAGGUAACAUUUAAUUCUGGAAAUCUCAUGACAUCAUGUUCUUGCAAAUUGUUUGAGAGAUUGGGGAUUUUAUGUAAACAUGCAAUAUGUGUUUUAAAUGCAAGACAAGUUACAAAGAUUCCAGAGUACUACAUUCUUGAUCGAUGGACAAAAGAGGCAACCAAAAGGCUAAUUUUUGAUAUGCAUGGUAACUUCCUUGAAGAAUGUAGGAAGAUGAACACAACAACUAAAAUGUUAGGGGAAGUCUGGUCGGAGAUUUUUAACUGUGUAGGCCUUGCAGAGGGAAAUGAGGAAAAUUUGCAACAAUUUCUCGAUAAUCUUAGAGAUUUUAGUAAGAAUUUGGUAGAAAAAGGAAAGUGUGUGCCAAUGACAAAAACUCAAGAGAUGGAGCUUUUUGUUGGUCCUAGUGCGUCUUCUAACCUCAAUAUCCAAAAUCCAAUACCAUCAAAGAAUAAAGGCAAGAGACAUAGAAUAGUAGGAGAAAAGGAGGCAGCAAUUGAGCAAAGUCAGAAACCCAAAAGAAAAUGUAAAGCUUGUGGGGCAUAUGAUUAUCACGACAGUCGUAACUGCCCGAACAAAACUACAACCUAAGCAAGCCUACUAGAUGAUAGGGUAACCUUGUUUUCACAAUGCCCCAACUUACAAACCCCUCUCAAAUCUCCUGUCUGGUUUAAUCUGAUGCCACAACAUCAACAUCAACAUCAACAUCACAGGUAACUAGGAAUCUAGAAGCAGUGGACAUAUUUAGGCACGUAGAUGAUCGUCAAGAAGCUGCUGAAUGCUUAGCAAGGGAAGCUUUGGGAAGAAUGAGCAAAAGCAACAUAAACAUUUCCUGCUUAGUUAUUCUUUUUGAGUACAAUUUUGUACAUUUUGGAACGUAUUUAAGUGUAACAACUAAUUAUUGUGGAAUACAAUUGGCACUGGAAACAAAUGAGAAAAUAUUUUUGCUGUGUUUA